CUUUGCUGAGAAUAAUAGCUGUCAAUCAAUUAUGUGCAAGAAGGACACCGCUGUGAUCACCUACUGUUGAUAGGCAGCCUGGAGAAAGUCAUGCCAACAAGCCAGAACUUAGCAUUCCUUUCUGUUAACCCCAAGUUUUUAGAUGAAACUUCACUUCCUUCACCAAUCGCAAAUCGGAGGAUUUUUGAAUCCACCUAUUAUCUGAGAAAGAAUAAAAGUAAAUGACUCAUUAGGACAAGGAAUGCAUGCAGCAAAAAAACAACUAAUGCGGCUGAGCUCCACUAGGAAUAGAAUCCCAGGAGACCUGGCAAG